rnacentral:rRNA from 1 species
AUUGAACGCUGGCGGCAGGCCUAACACAUGCAAGUCGAACGGUAACAGGAAGAAGCUUGCUUCUUUGCUGACGAGUGGCGGACGGGUGAGUAAUGUCUGGGAAACUGCCUGAUGGAGGGGGAUAACUACUGGAAACGGUAGCUAAUACCGCAUAACGUCGCAAGACCAAAGAGGGGGACCUUCGGGCCUCUUGCCAUCGGAUGUGCCCAGAUGGGAUUAGCUAGUAGGUGGGGUAACGGCUCACCUAGGCGACGAUCCCUAGCUGGUCUGAGAGGAUGACCAGCCACACUGGAACUGAGACACGGUCCAGACUCCUACGGGAGGCAGCAGUGGGGAAUAUUGCACAAUGGGCGCAAGCCUGAUGCAGCCAUGCCGCGUGUAUGAAGAAGGCCUUCGGGUUGUAAAGUACUUUCAGCGGGGAGGAAGGGAGUAAAGUAAAUACCUUUGCUCAUUGACGUUACCCGCAGAAGAAGCACCGGCUAACUCCGUG